rnacentral:rRNA from 1 species
UACGUAGGGCGCGAGCGUUGUCCGGAAUUAUUGGGCGUAAAGAGCUCGUAGGCGGUUUGUCGCGUCGGCCGUGAAAACUUGGGGCUUAACUCAAAGCUUGCGGUCGAUACGGGCAGACUUGAGUUCGGCAGGGGAGACUGGAAUUCCUGGUGUAGCGGUGAAAUGCGCAGAUAUCAGGAGGAACACCGGUGGCGAAGGCGGGUCUCUGGGCCGAUACUGACGCUGAGGAGCGAAAGCGUGGGGAGCGAACAGG